rnacentral:rRNA from 1 species
UACAGAGGGUGCAAGCGUUGUUCGGAAUUAUUGGGCGUAAAGGGUGCGUAGGCGGUGCGGUAAGUCUGUUGUGAAAUCUCCGGGCUCAACUCGGAGCCUGCAACGGAAACUGCCGUGCUUGAGUAUGGGAGAGGUGAGUGGAAUUCCCGGUGUAGCGGUGAAAUGCGUAGAUAUCGUCAAGAACACCAAUAGUGAAGACAGUUUACUAGACUUCAACUGACGCUGAGGCACGAAAGUGUGGGGAUCAAACAGG